GGCAGAAUCCAGUGUCAGAUGACAGGAUAAGAAGGUCCUUUACUCAGUGCUGCAUCUAGGAGGAAUUCUUACUGUCUUACUGACAGCUCGCUGAGGUCAAUGACUUUGUCUGUUUGGCUGAUCACUGUGACCCCAAUGUUUGCACAGUUAAUACCAGCUGGGAAUGCCACUGAACCACCAUGGAUGUUCUCCAUGAUGUCAGGAGGUGGUGGCCACUAGCAGCUGCAGCCUGACAACACUGGACAGGGUGCCUCAGGAUCUCUUCAGCAGCUUCAGGAAGCUCUCGGCUAAGAUCAGUUCUCGCAUGUUAGCAAUUUGUGUUAUCGAGGAUGGUCUUCAAUGUAUGGUUUCCAGAAUGAGCUCAGAGUCUAGUAAUGUGCUUCUGACGUUGGUUUUGAAUUGAAGCCCAUGCUCUGCAUACAACCGAGAUUUCCCAGUGGUUAAAGAUGUUUGUCUGAUGACGUGAGUUGGAGUCAUGGAACCCACCUAAAGAUGAAGAGAGGAAACUGACAGCAAAGUUGUCCUUUGACCAUCCUCUAUGCAUUAUCGUACAUGUGCCUAUACACACACUCAUACACACACCAUAAUAAUAAGUGGAGUUUAAAGGUUUUUGUUGAAUAAACAUAGGAUUAAUUCAAUGACUGUUCUAAAGGUGUCACUAGCUAGCAAAUACCACACUAUACUAUACAACAUAUGAAAAUUCCAAUAUCAAAGUCCUACAUUGGGGCUGGAGAGAUGUCUCAGUCAGUAAGUGCCUAUUGUAAAAUCAUGAGAUCCUGAGUUCAGAUCUCCAGCACCCAUGUAACAGUUGGGCAUAGUCUUGUAGUCUUCAAGCCCCCACACUAUUGAGGGGAGACAAGCGCAUCUUUGAAGCUCACCGACAAGCGAAUCUAGUUGAAUACAUGAACUCCAGGUUUGAUAAGAGCCAUGCUAUGAUGGUUAUCUUGGUUAUCAACUUCACUACACCUGGAUUAAACUGAAAACCUCAAGCAGUUAGGCAGAGCUGUGUGGGAUAUUUGUUGAUUAAAUUUUUGAGGUGUUGAGACACCCCCUUGCCGCUUAAAUCUAGACAGCACCUUCUGGUAGCAGCCUGCAUAAAAGGACCCUGAAAAAGGAAACUCUUGGGUUUUGCCUGCUGGCCCUCACACUCCUGGCAAGUUCACCUGUCCAUUCCUGAGAUACUUCUUCAGGGUUCUGUAGACUGAAGCCUGGCAGCUCUCUAGGACUUCCCUGGGACUCUAGCACUAGAUUGGGACAGUUUAGACAUCCAGACUUGUGGACUGAACAACUACUAGGUCUUUGGCCUUUCCAUCAAAAGACAGCCAUGGUUAGAGUAUUUGGACUCCAGCCUAUAAGCCAUUCUCAUAAAUCAUAUAUACAGUAUAUACCUA